UCCGUGUUGGUGUAACGGUUAACAUUUCACGUUUUCACCGUGAGGCUCGGGGUUCGAUUCCCCGACGCGGAG
rnacentral:tRNA from 1 species